UUGUCCAUCACAAUUCACAACCCCACUCUCGAUCCUCGCCCUCUCGAGACCACCGACCGCUCGUCCUCAUCCCGUCAUCCGUGCCCGCAUCUCCGCAGUCGUCGCCAGUCGCCACCGCUAUCCGAGCUCCCCCCCCCCCCCCUCCAUGCCGCACUAUGGCUCUUGCCUCGAAUCCGCCCACUCCCCACAUCGAGAACAGCCAUCGACGCCGCAAGAGGAGACGCACCCAAGAGAGAGGAGGCGACCAUGAGGGCCAAGGUCCCGAAGCGGGAGGGUUGGUGGGGGAGGAGGAACUAACGAUAGCCAUCGCCAUGGCCACCGACGACGACUGAUAGGACUGCCUCUUCUUCAUCGAUGUGGUAACGACAGAAAUCAAGUAAUGGGGACGGGGCUCUCCAGGCCAUGCGGGUCAAACGACUGGAACACGUCCCCUUAGCCUCCGAACGGGAACCCCGGGCUGGAGCUCUACAGCGAGAAGACCAAGCUUGCUGAAGGGCCGCAGGCUUGGAACAUCUAGAUUUUGUUUUGCUAAGGGGAGCGCUAUGUGAGGGUGGGCAGGUUGCUCAGGUCAAGUGGGUUCACGGCUGCGAGCUUCAUGGAGAGACUAUUGAUAGCAGUUGUGUCCUGCAUCAUUCUUUGAUCAAGAUUGAUGAGGGAAAGAUCAGUAUGCCGAGGAUGGGACCGGGUUGUAGCUUGCGAUGCUAGAUCUGCUCAUCAUGAAACCCAUCAUGACUAAUGCAUUUAUCUGCCAUUUAAGUGUACACCAGAUUAUUUGUAUGUUUGCUGCUUACUAUGCAAAAUGGCAGCUAAAAGAAGCCCUAAAGCAUGCGAGCUGCACCUCUACCGGUUUAGUGGCCAAACUGGCUGUUACUACGUUUCAGGUGUUUUAUCUGUAACUUUUAUUUUGUUCUUUUUCUUGUUACUCACUUAUUUCUGAAUAAUUAAGUAUAUAUGUCACUUAAUUUAGUGCUA